UACGUAGGGGGCAAGCGUUGGUCCGGAAUCAUUGGGCGUAAAGAGCGUGUAGGCGGCCAGAUAAGUCCGCUGUGAAAUCUCGAGGCUCAACUUCGAGCUGUCGGUGGAAACUGUCUGGCUAGAGUCCGGAAGAGGAGAAUGGAAUUCCUGGUGUAGCGGUGAAAUGCGCAGAUAUCAGGAAGAACACCCGUGGCGAAGGCGGUUCUCUGGGCCUUACCUGACGCUGAGGAGCGAAAGCGUGGGGAGCGAACAGG
rnacentral:rRNA from 1 species